rnacentral:rRNA from 1 species
UACGUAGGGUGCAAGCGUUGUCCGGAAUUAUUGGGCGUAAAGAGCUCGUAGGCGGUCAGUCGCGUCUGCUGUGAAAACUCGGGGCUUAACUCCGGGCCUGCAGUGGGUACGGGCUGACUAGAGUGCGGUAGGGGAGACUGGAAUUCCUGGUGUAGCGGUGAAAUGCGCAGAUAUCAGGAGGAACACCAAUAGCGAAGGCAGCUCGCUGGGACGUUACUGACACUGAGGCGCGAAAGCGUGGGGAGCGAACAGG